rnacentral:rRNA from 1 species
AGCGAACGCUGGCGGCAGGCCUAACACAUGCAAGUCGAACGAAGUCUUCGGACUUAGUGGCGGACGGGUGAGUAACACGUGGGAACGUGCCUUUAGGUUCGGAAUAACUCAGGGAGACUUGUGCUAAUACCGAAUGUGCCCUUCGGGGGAAAGAUUUAUCGCCUUUAGAGCGGCCCGCGUCUGAUUAGCUAGUUGGUGAGGUAAAGGCUCACCAAGGCGACGAUCAGUAGCUGGUCCGAGAGGAUGAUCAGCCACAUUGGGACUGAGACACGGCCCAAACUCCUACGGGAGGCAGCAGUGGGGAAUCUUGCGCAAUGGGCGAAAGCCUGACGCAGCCAUGCCGCGUGAAUGAUGAAGGUCUUAGGAUUGUAAAAUUCUUUCACCGGGGACGAUAAUGACGGUACCCGGAGAAGAAGCCCCGGCUAACUUCGUGCCAGCCACCGCAGUAACAC